GCCUACCUGGCUCUGUUGGUAGAGCAUGUGACUCUUGAUCUCCAGGUCGUGAGUUCAAGCCCCACGUUGGGCA
rnacentral:tRNA from 1 species